rnacentral:misc_RNA from 1 species
GAUGAAGAACGUAGCGAAAUGCGAUAAGUAAUGUGAAUUGCAGAAUUCCGUGAAUCAUCGAAUCUUUGAACGCACAUUGCGCCCUCUGGUAUUCCGGGGGGCAUGCCUGUCUGAGCGUCAUUUGCAACCCUCAAGCCCGGCUUGUGUGAUGGGUGCCGUCCCCUACGGGACGCGCCCCGAAGGCAAUGGCGGCGUCGCGGUUAUCCGAUCAGCCAAAGUGUAUGGGGCUUUGUCACUCACUUUACGGCCCGGACCGGCGCCAGUCCGAAUCAAUCUUUUUUCUAAAGUUGACCUCGGAUCAGGUAGGGAUACCCGCUGAACUUAAGCAUAUCAAUAAGCGGAGGA